rnacentral:rRNA from 1 species
GACGAACGCUGGCGGCGUGCUUAACACAUGCAAGUCGAACGGAAAGGCCCUGCUUUUGUGGGGUGCUCGAGUGGCGAACGGGUGAGUAACACGUGAGUAACCUGCCCUUGACUUUGGGAUAACUCCAGGAAACUGGGGCUAAUACCGGAUAGGAGCUCCUGCUGCAUGGUGGGGGUUGGAAAGUUUCGGCGGUUGGGGAUGGACUCGCGGCUUAUCAGCUUGUUGGUGGGGUAGUGGCUUACCAAGGCUUUGACGGGUAGCCGGCCUGAGAGGGUGACCGGCCACAUUGGGACUGAGAUACGGCCCAGACUCCUACGGGAGGCAGCAGUGGGGAAUAUUGCACAAUGAGCGGAAGCCUGAUGCAGCAACGCCGCGUGCGGGAUGACGGCCUUCGGGUUGUAAACCGCUUUCGCCUGUGACGAAGCGUGAGUGACGGUAAUGGGUAAAGAAGCACCGGCUAACUACGUG